CCUACGGGUGGCUGCAGUGAGGAAUAUUGGUCAAUGGCCGGAAGGCUGAACCAGCCAAGCCGCGUGAAGGACGAAGGUGCCAAGCAUUGUAAACUUCUUUUGUCAAGGGACAAAAUCAGGCUCGAGAGCCUGACCGAGGGUACUUGAAGAAAAAGCAUCGGCUAACUCCGUGCCAGCAGCCGCGGUAAUAGGGAGGAUGCGAGCGUUAUCCGGGUUGAUUGGGUUUAAGGGGUGCGUAGGCGGACUGUUAAGACAGCGGUAAAAGCCCGGGGCGCAAACCCGGCGGGCCGGUGAAACUGGGUGUCUAGAGAUGUCGAGAGGUAUGCGGAAUGCGCAGUGUAGCGGGGAAAUGCUUAGAUAUUGCGCAGAACUCCGAUAGCGAAGGCAGCAAACCGGCGGCGAUCUGACGCUGAGGCACGAAAGCGUGGGUAUCGAACAGGAUUAGAUACCCUUGUAGUC
rnacentral:rRNA from 1 species